rnacentral:lncRNA from 1 species
GCGAACUGAAUUGAAUACUUGAGAUAGCAAAUUACCUUGAAUGCUUUCAAACAAUUGGGUUGUUGUUGGAAUUGAACGUGUUGUGGAAUAUCUCUUGAAGUUUUUUUUCUGGUUGAGUCAGAGUAAUGAAUGAGGGUUCCUUCACCCUUCUUCAGUGUUGGAUGUAUCAACUGAACUGGAAAGGCGGAAACGAUUUAAAAUUUGUUGUUCCUUCAAUAAUUGCAGGUGGAAACAUGGAGAAGAUGGAGGAUUUAGAGGCUGGAUUUACCUUGAAGUCUUGGCAGAAUAUUCAAACAAGUCCCCUUUGCUCUUUGCAUUCGCUGGUGCAAGAUGGAGGAGAAGUGUGAAGUGUUGGGAGCAGAAAUGUGAGACUAAAGUAGGGGUUGUGUGAUCAUUGAGCAGUACAACAGUAGAGUGGCUGAUAGGGCGUGGUUGUAGCUGCAGAGGUAGGGUGGCUGAUUACUGUAGCAGAGAUGGGGAUGGGAUGUAGUUGUAGCUGUAGAGUAGGGUGGCUGAUUACUGCAGCUGCUCCUUAUCCCACGUCCCUUUCCCCCUUUUUCUUUUCUUUUUAUUGCUGCAGUUUCUUUUCUUUGGUGUUGACUAGGUGGAAGGUAGAAGUAGGGAUUUGAUAACUAUAGGUUGUGGAAGUAGAGCUUGUAAGAUAGAAGAAAUUAAAUCUCGGUCUAUGUAAUUCUAUAUUCGUAAUGAAAGAUUCGAGUUUUGCUAAUAUACUGAAUACACUAAUAAAUCUCGUAUCUCGAUAUUAGUCUCCUUGCCUUGCUAAAAUCAACAAAUUGUAACAUACUAACUUAAUUAAAU